GAGUCUUCGCCGUUCGAUCCCCCUUCCUGCCACUCCCUGACCCGCCACCGCCGCCGCGUCCUACUCCUCCCCACCCACAACCGCUGCAUCACCUCCUCCCACCACCUUCGCGUCCUCCUCCUCCCCAUCGCCGCCACGUCCUCCUCCCACCCACCACCGGCAUGUCCGCCGCGUCCUCCUCCCAUCCACCACCGCUGCCACUGACGGAGCCAAGGUCGUCCCUAGCCGCCGCCGCUGAUUCGCCACGCAUCAACUCCACCAUCGACACCCCUGUGCUCAGUCCUCAACCGUGGUCUCCGCUCGAUGCACAAGCAGCUGACUUCCGCGCCCAAUGCCGGACGGCCGUGCUGCCCAAUCUCGCACGGCUGCGGCCUCACUGGCUCUCGAUGCCCCCUGAGCACUACCGUCGUCGAGGACGCCACUAUGGGCCACUCCACUGCCAAGGCCAAGCGGAUCUGGUCACUUCACCACCAAGGCUGCCAACCCCGAGCCCUUCCACCGUGAGUCCGCAGCCUGCUUGAUUAUUGUUGCCGUUGCCUGGGUCCCUCACCGCCAGGGCUGCAGGCUUCAGCACACUCCACCGUGUGGUCGCUGUUGCGUGCCUCUCCGCGUCCCAUUUGGCGGACAGCCUUGAGCCUUGUUGAUCACCAGAGACGUUCUCCAACCCUAGUUGUCAUCGCCAACAGCUGGCCAUGGUGGAAACUACUGACACAGUCCUGGCGCGCCUAAUGCAUCUUGCUCUGAACAAGAAGGAAUUCACCAAAGAGGGCAAGGAGCUGGCAAGCAGCAAUAGGCAUGAUUGAACCAAACUUAAAUAUGCAUAAAUCAAGAUGGGUGAGCAAACAUGGAUGGCGAUGAUAUCCUGACAUUCAAAUGUGAAUCAACCAACAAAGACAGUGAGUUGACACCAUCCAUAGGUGAACCAAACGGUAGCAUGCAAGGAGUCCCUGUUGGCAAUGGUCAAAUGCAUCUAACGCCAAAUGGUGAAUAUAUACACCAACGUUAUGAGGUGCAACCGCCCAAGUGAAGCAGGACAUUCAAAGUGGAAUAUGCUAGAGCAUAUUGUUUUGCUAAAUAGGUCUGAAGCAUGUGGUUGCUAUAUAUUUCAAUUUUUCCUGUUCCUAACUAUUUUCAACCUUUGUAAGUUAUAAUAUUUGUAGAUAUCUAAGUAAGUUCCUUAAUUAUGGAUUUUUCAAAUUGAUGUUUGACAUGGGUCCCAUUUAUAUGAAUUGGCGUUCAAGUUCAAGAAGCAUUUGUAGAUAUCUAA